UUCAUCAGCUGGCCACCUGUCCCAUGGAGUCACCCAUCGCUAUCCCUCCAUGUCUAUUUGUCUCCGUCCACCCAUCCAUCCAUCCACCCACCCAUCCAUCCCCCACCCAUCUCUUUACCCAGAAGGAGGAAGGGGGGGCAGGAGGAGGAAGAAGCACCCAGCCGGAUGAGAUGGGCAGUGAAUUGGACUGACAGGGAGUCAAAGAAUCUGGAGCAGAAGCCGGUGGGAGGAAAUCAAAGGGGAUUGGCCUUGGCCUAGAGGCAAGAUUCCAUCCCUGCCUUCAGGAUUGACUUAGAAACAGACUCCACUUGGAAGUCUGCCCCAGACAGACUUGCUUUCUCUCAGCUGAGUGGCCAGGAAUUCCAGACCUGAGGAGCAUAGAGAGUGGGACCCUUAUUGUAGAUCAGAGGCAGUGAGUCCUCAAGAGAAGGGACACGCUUCUGUCAAGCAGAGAGGCAGCCAGACCCAGAUGUCUAAUUCCCAGGCUAGUGUUUUCCCCACCACAGUGUACCUCUCAGUUCCUACCCCACCAAUACUGUAAACAGACUCACUGUUCACCCCCUCAGCAUCUGACAGAGCACUGGGCCCAGAGAAGGAAACCUUCCCCAUUUCUACAAGCUCCUACCCCGACCCCCAAAUGUUACCAGCUGCGACAUGAACUCUUUUCUGGGGAGAUUGGCCAAGGAGCCCACUUACCCCAUGACAGCAGGACUCCUCCCUGCUCCCUUGAUGUCCCACUGUCCUCCCUCCUAGGGACUGUUCACAGAUGGGAAAAGGGAGGUAGGGGCUUACCCCCAGUCCCACGGUUCAGAGGUGGCACAUCCCUGCAUCUGCUGUCCUGCACUGAUCUGAGACAUGUGACAACAUGUGUAGCCUCUGGUGUUCUGGCCUCCAGGUGGCCUUGUGCCAUUGAAAUCAGGGGCCGAGGAUACACACAGUCUGCAGAGACAGGAGGUCUGUAGGGGUGCCGAGGGCUGGGCAGGGGAAGACACCUUGAGAACUGUUUUCACCUGCCACCUGCUCAGCCCCACCUAGCCAUGGAAAAUGUGUCCUGUCCUCCAGGCAGGGGAAAGAGCCGAGGGACGACCCAGCCGUAAAGAGACAAGUACGGUGCCAGCCUCAGGGCUGAAGAGCAGGAGAGCAGAUGAGAAAAGGGACAAGCUAGAAACCUGCCUACAAAUGGCUCUUUGUCAGUGUUCACUGUGCAACCAUG